rnacentral:rRNA from 1 species
UACGUAGGGUGCAGGCGUUAAUCGGAAUUACUGGGCGUAAAGCGCACGUAGGCGGGUGGUUAAGUCAGGGGUGAAAUCCCGGAGCUCAACUCCGGAACUGCCUUUGAUACUGGCCAUCUAGAGAUCGGAAGAGGUGAGUGGAAUUCCCAGUGUAGAGGUGAAAUUCGUAGAUAUUGGGUAAGAACACCAGUGGCGAAGGCGGCUCACUGGUCCGAUACUGACGCUGAGGUGCGAAAGCGUGGGGAGCAACAGG